ACGAUCCUUCGUUCGUUGGAGAGCACGCGUGGGACGAUGAUAGCAAUGAAGCAGCGGCAGCGCAAGAAUUGAACAAAGGUGCCGAAGGUCACGAAAACCGAUAUUUCGAUUCCCUCCUGAUUGUCUUCCUUGAUGACACUGAUGCGUUAACAAGCUGUUGUCCUCUUGGACAGCGAGGAGAUGGCCAAGGAUAUUGCUGAGAAAAAAGAAGAACCGGUUAUUCCUCCGCAAUGUUUCUGGGCUGCCUGAAGGUGGUGGAAAUACAGGCCGAAGAUGCCGUACUUCGAUUUUUUUGAGAAAGUGCAGAGAAUGGAGGUGCAAAGUGCCGUAUUUAGCCAAUACCGGACUCGGUUCUUCGUGACAAUGAAAGAAGGAAUGAAAGAAUCUAAACGGUGACCAUCCCAAAAUUGGUCGAUCGCUCCCCUCCCCUUAUUAACAAGGAAAGGAAGAAGGGGAGGAGGAGCUGACCGCGUGCUAGCGGCUGGCUGCGGACAAGAAUGGAUGAUCCUGGGGAGUAUUCUAUGGCGAUUCUCUGCGGCUCACAGAUGGGCGAAGAUCUCUGGAAAGAGAAUGUGGCAUUGUUGGUCCUGACUGCGUUCGGCCGGAAUCCCAACCGCUGCUGAACGCAGUCGGCCGAACGCAGUCGGACAGCUCCAUUUGGUGAUUCCGUAUGGCGAUUAUAAUGGCAAUCGUGCUUGCAAUGGCUAGAUUUCUGA